rnacentral:rRNA from 1 species
UACGGAGGGUGCGAGCGUUAUCCGGAUUCACUGGGUUUAAAGGGUGCGUAGGAGGGCAGGUAAGUCAGUGGUGAAAUCCCCGAGCUUAACUUGGGAACUGCCGUUGAUACUAUCUGUCUUGAAUACCGUGGAGGUGAGCGGAAUAUGUCAUGUAGCGGUGAAAUGCUUAGAUAUGACAUAGAACACCAAUUGCGAAGGCAGCUCGCUACACGAAUAUUGACUCUGAGGCACGAAAGCGUGGGGAUCAAACAGG